rnacentral:rRNA from 1 species
GUGCCAGCAGCCGCGGUAAUACGGAGGGUGCAAGCGUUAUCCGGAUUCACUGGGUUUAAAGGGUGCGUAGGCGGGUAGGUAAGUCAGAGGUGAAAUCCUAGAGCUUAACUCUAGAACUGCCUUUGAUACUAUCUAUCUUGAAUAUUGUGGAGGUAAGCGGAAUAUGUCAUGUAGCGGUGAAAUGCUUAGAUAUGACACAGAACACCUAUUGCGAAGGCAGCUUACUACGCAUAUAUUGACGCUGAGGCACGAAAGCGUGGGGAUCAAACAAGAUUAGAAACCCUGGUAGUCC